UACAGAGGUCUCAAGCGUUGUUCGGAUUCAUUGGGCGUAAAGGGUGCGUAGGCGGCGCGGUAAGUCGGGUGUGAAAUCUCGGGGCUUAACUCCGAAACUGCAUUCGAUACUGCCGUGCUUGAGGACUGGAGAGGAGACUGGAAUUUACGGUGUAGCGGUGAAAUGCGUAGAUAUCGAGAGGAACACCUGCGGCGAAGGCGGGUUGCUGGGCUGAUACUGACGCUGACAGCGCGAAAGCUAGGGGAGCGAACGGG
rnacentral:rRNA from 1 species